AAAUUGGCUCCCACAGUUACGGAGGUGAGAAGUCCCAGGAUCUGCCAUCUGCAAGCUGGAGACCCAGGAAAGCCGGUGGUGUAAUUCAGUCGGAGUCUGAAGGCCUGGGAACCAGGGGAGCCAAUGGUGUGAGUCCCAGCUGCAGGCUCAGGGCCCAAGAACCAGGAGCUCCGAUGUCCGAGGACGGGAGAAGAUGGAUGUCCAGCUCAAGAAGAGAGGGUGAAUUCACCAUUCCUCUGCCUGUUUUAUUUGGGCCCUCAACGGACUGGAUGAUGCCCACCCAUGUUGGCCAUGUGCGUGGAGGGAGGUGAGUGAAUAUUUUCCACAUAGUUCAGCAUCCAAUAAAACCGUGGAAUAAUCCUUAGGACCUAAGCAGCCACCCUGGUGGCCACGUGCGGAACUUCUUUAACAGUGGACAGGAAGGUGAGCAAGUUCCUCUGGCGGCUGGCGGUUGCAGAAGGGUGGCCGUAGUGGUGAGGAGGGAGGCAGGAGAGGGGUCCCUUGCUACGCUGGGGCUGGGAGCAGUCCGGGCAGAGGAAGGCGGCAUCAGGAUCCC
rnacentral:lncRNA from 1 species